ACACAUAAAGAUUUAGAAACGGGACGGCACUGUGGCCGCUCUUGUGUUCUUUGAAAAUGUAAACGAGUGACAAGCGUUUUGGUUCGAAACCGAACCGAGAUGUGUCGUUGAGGCAAUUAAGCGAACGCGUUGUNUGGAAAUAUAGUCCCGAGGCGACUUGGGGUUAUAUGGUCAAGCGACCAAGCGUAUACGGUGGAUGCCUUGGCGGUCAGAGGCGAUGAAGGACGUGGCAGCCUGCGAAAAGUGUCGGGGAGCUGGNCACAAGCUUUGAUCCGGCNAUGUCCGAAUGGGGAAACCCGG
rnacentral:misc_RNA from 1 species